CCUGGCGGCAAUAGCGCGGUGGAACCGCCUGACCCCAUGCCGCACGCAGAAGUGAAACGCGGUAGCGCCGAUGGUAGUGUGGCAUUCGCCAUGCGAGAGUAGGACACUGCCAGGC
rnacentral:rRNA from 1 species